rnacentral:rRNA from 1 species
GAUGAACGCUGGCGGCGUGCCUAAUACAUGCAAGUCGAGCGAACAGACGAGGAGCUUGCUUCUCUGACGUUAGCGGCGGACGGGUGAGUAACACGUGGAUAACCUACCUAUAAGACUGGGAUAACUUCGGGAAACCGGAGCUAAUACCGGAUAAUAUAUUGAACCGCAUGGUUCAAUAGUGAAAGACGGGUUUGCUGUCACUUAUAGAUGGAUCCGCGCUUCAUUAGCUAGUUGGUAAGUUAACGGCUUACCAAGGCAACGAUGCGUAGGCGACCUGGAAUGGUGUACGGCGACACUGGUACUGAGACACGGUCCAUAUCCUUACGGGAGGCCGCAGUAGGCAAUCUUCUGCAAUCGGCGAAAGCGUGACCCAUCCACGCCGCGUGAGUCAUGAAGGUCUUCGGAUCGUCGAACUCUGUUAUUAGGGAAUAAUAAUUGCGUAAGUAACUAUGCACUUCUUUACGUUAACUAAUCUGAACGCCUUGGCUAACUUCUUG